ACGGCGGCCGUAACUAUAACGGUCCUAAGGUAGCGAAAUUCCUUGUCGGGUAAGUUCCGACCCGCACGAAAGGCGUAACGAUUUGGGCACUGUCUCAACAACAGACUCGGUGAAAUUGUAAUACCGGUGAAGAUGCCGGUUACCUGCGACAGGACGGAAAGACCCCAUGGAGCUUUACUGUAGCUUGACAUUGAGUCUCGGUGCUACAUGUACAGGAUAGGUGGGAGACUAUGAAGCAUGGACGUCAGUCUGUGUGGAGUCAUCCUUGGGAUACCACCCUUGUAGUACUGGGAUUCUAACCAGAGGCCAUGAAUCUGGUCUUGGGACACUGUCAGGUGGACAGUUUGACUGGGGCGGUCGCCUCCCAAAAAGUAACGGAGGCGCUCAAAGGUUCUCUCAGUACGGUCGGAAAUCGUACGAAGAGUGUAAAGGCAAAAGAGAGCUUGAUUGCAAGACAUACAGGUCGAGCAAGGACGAAAGUCGGACUUAGUGAUCCGGUGGUUCCGCAUGGAAGGGCCAUCGCUCAACGGAUAAAAGCUACCCUGGGGAUAACAGGCUGAUCUCCCCCAAGAGUCCACAUCGACGGGGAGGUUUGGCACCUCGAUGUCGGCUCAUCACAUCCUGGGGCUGUAGUAGGUCCCAAGGGUUGGGCUGUUCGCCCAUUAAAGUGGUACGCGAGCUGGGUUCAGAACGUCGUGAGACAGUUCGGUCCCUAUCCGUCGCAGGCGUAGGAAAUUUGAGGAGACCUGUCCUUAGUACGAGAGGACCGGGAUGGACGUACCGCUGGUGUACCAGUUGUUCUGCCAAGGGCAUGGCUGGGUAGCUAAGUACGGAAAGGAUAAGCGCUGAAAGCAUCUAAGCGCGAAGCCCACUUCAAGAUAAGAUUUCCCACCGCAAGGUUAAGAUCCCAGGAAGACUACCUGGUUGAUAGGUCAGAGGUGUAAGUGCAGUAAUGUAUUUAGCUUACUGAUACUAAUAGAUCGAGGACUUGACCAA
rnacentral:rRNA from 1 species